GGAGGAGUAAACCCUAGAAUCUCUCUAAUUAUGGACAUUCACCUAAAAUAGGAGAUUUUAUAGCAUAUUUGGCAAUAUAAAAUUUAGAAAAUCUAGUUGAGCGAUUUUCUAAGUCCUAUAGGCAUAAUUAAGUGAUUUUAUUGUUAUAAUAAAAAAAAGUAACUUUAAUAAAUAAUUUGGAAUAGUUGAGUAACCAUUUGAAUAAUGAACUCGUUAUAUGACUCUAUUAAAAGACUCUUGGGUUUAUAGCCUCUACGUCAUAAUGCGAUCGCUAUAUCGUCAGGAUUUCCUGGCAAAAUUCUUGGUGAUCAUCAGGAUAUUGUCAUAAAUUCAGACGGAUCAUUAGAAUUUUGUUAGCGUCGUAGCAAAUGGCCAGUAUUCCUAGUGCUUUACGUUAGGAUUUGAUUUUUGGCCAAACCAUGGUAAUUAAUACUUUUUCCGUUUCAAUUUAUGUGAAUCUGUUUGACUGAGCAUGGAGUUUAAGAAAAAAUAAAAGACUUAAAAAUUUGUCAUUAAG
rnacentral:lncRNA from 1 species